UACAAUGUUUUGACUCUUCGUCUUAUUUGAAAAUUUUCCAGAUUAAUAUUUUUAUUCUUAUUAUACAAUAAAAUAUGAAUAGUAAUCAUGCGUGACUGAUUUUUUUAAAUUUUUAUAUAAAUUUUUUAAAUAAGACGAAUGGUCAAAUGUUAGACACGGAAAAACA
rnacentral:pre_miRNA from 1 species